rnacentral:rRNA from 1 species
AUCACCAACCGCGGACAGGCAAAGUGACCCACAUGCCCCACUUGCCCGGUUCCGGCGACACCCCGCAGAGCGCAGCCGGCGUCGCCUCCCAAUGGCUGCCUCCGAUCGGCAGUGGCGGAGGUACACCUGUCGGGGUGCGCGAAGCACCGCCCCUUGAAAAUGGCGUCGGGGCGACGUGGCCGGGCGAGGCACCGCUCGUCCGCCGCAUAUUUUACUUUCCCAAAGAGCUUAGGGCCCCACUUGCUCUCCCCUCCGACCGAAUCCGCCUCCACCUUCCGCCCUACGAGGGCGCCACCGCCCCGUCGCUUGCACCCGCAUCAAUCGAUCCGACCAAAAUCCAGCUCAAAUCCCUCGCCUCGCCUCGCCUCGCCGUGCCCCGGCUGGUGCCCGCUGGCCCGCCUCGUUCCUCUCGGUGUCGGAUUGGAGAGAUCGAUUCCCAUGGCCCUGCCUUGUACAGUAGCCAGCUGCCGCUUGCUGUUGCAUCUGUGCAGCUGGUGCAUGGUCUCCCCUCCCAAAUCGUAGUCGCCGCCGGCUCACCAUUUGUCCAUAUCAUUGCUCACCACGGCUCCCAUCCCUUCUGGUUGCUUUGGCGUUGAUUGAUUUUGGCGUCUACCCGUCUAGGGUUUCAAGCUCAGCGUCGGCGUUUCAGUUUCUGCAAGUGGAGGCGGCAAGCUAGAGACAGCAACUGCAUAAUUUGCAAGAAAAUCGUUUUCGGGCCAUACCGAUGAUUUUCUUGCAAGUUGUGCAGUUGUUGUCUCAAGCUUGCUGCCUCCCUUUGCCAGAACUAUGGAAUUUGAACUUACAGUUAAGUAAUGCCACAUCAGGUUUGCCAAAAGUAUUAAAAUAGACAUGGUGCAUAGAAAAGCAUGAUUGCCCUAUCACUAUCAGUGUCAUGAAAGUACUGAAUCACAUGGUAAUAUCUGCAACUUUAUUUGACUGGGUAUAAUUCAUACAAUAAAUGUUGAGAGGACAAAUAGGUUAUAGGAUAAAAUAUAAUGCAAGUGGGAAACCUUUGGUUUUGUUUCCUUCGGGUACUUCACUCCAAUGACUGUCAAGGUGCACCCAAAAAAAGUGACUUGGUGAUAUCAGGUUGAACAUAUAUUUAUACACCCCACAUGAUUUGUUGUCUUAUGCCAUCUCUAAUUCUCUCAAAUGCUUCUGUGAGGCAAAUCAACCUUUUAGCAUGUGAGCUUCUAAAGAAGUAUGAGCUAGAGGCAGAACAGGUCUGGAAACUCGUUAUUAUCCUGCUGGAAGAAGAUUUCGUGUGGCAGUAGAAGGUCUCAGUUUGUCUCAGUUUGAUUCAGAACUGUCAUUUGGGGUUCAUCUCACAAGUUUCAAUAUAGACUGAAGGAUUUGUAUGUGUUGUACAUGUUUCCUUAGCUUCCAUUAUUCCUUCUGAGAAGUUCUGUUAUGUUGGUCUUACAUAUUUGAUUUUCUGUCCGAGGUUCAAAGGAGAUUAGGAUUCGGAUAGGAGCUGUAUGCACAAGAGCUCUUUUCAAAUGGUUUCCUACAUGAGAAUUCCUACCCCGUUUGCUGUUUCUUCUUUGGCCAAUAUUUGCAUCAUCUUGCGGCCUAUAAUCCUCAAGGUUGUUCUGUAACUGCAGAAUUUAGCGAAGGGACGACGAGCUAACUUAGUGAGAAAUACACUCGUGUUGGUUGAUACCAUUCUAGUUGAGCUUUGAUGUUUAGUUCUGUAGUUAAUCUGACGGGCCAUUUAAAUGUAAAACAAACGGUGCUGCAGACAGCACAAUCUUAGGUUCACCUCAAUAAGCUUCAAUAGUCAAGUAAAUUGCAGUUCAGCUUGAUGCUCACAAACUAGUUUCAUCAGGUGCACCGCCGCAAGGCCAUUUUGGUCAGCUUGGAUUUGAUUAGUAGUGUUUAUAUCUGUCAUCUGUUUAGAGUUCUAAUCUGGCUUUGCUAAACCCUACAAUUUGUUUGUAGUCAAGAAUACCAGUCUGCCAAUACAUUUUGUUCUAUGAAGGCGUUUUCAACCUCUGAUUGCAAGUUGAAGCAGUUGGCUCAACACUGGGUGUUGGCACAACAUCCAUGCCAUUCAACAGGGGUUCAUUAAGAUUUAAAGAGUCUUUUCCAUUUGGUCAGCGGUUGGUCAUCGGUGGUGGUGUUAGCUCACAAUUUUCCUGUCUGAGACGUUGCAACAAUAGUCAGUUUGAGGUGAAAAGUCUGGAGCUGGAUCCUGAAUUUAAGGGCCUUUUCCCAAUUUACAUGGAUGAACUGCUAUCACUUUUUAGUUCGGCUGAUGAUGGGCCUCCUGAGUCUGUAUGAUGAGCCAGCAUGAUUUGCCAAAAAAGGGUAUUUGCAAAUCUAUGUUGCUUGAGAUUUUCUUAUGCCUACAAGUGAUACACUAAGCCGUCUGCCCAGUCUAACGCCUCUGUUGAGAUUAAUUCACAUGAUUCUAAAAACACAAGAAUAUGAGAA